rnacentral:rRNA from 1 species
UACGUAGGGUGCAAGCGUUAAUCGGAAUUACUGGGCGUAAAGCGUGCGCAGGCGGUCCGUUAAGACAGAUGUGAAAGCCCCGGGCUUAACCUGGGAAUGGCAUUGGAAACUGGCUCGCUGGAGUGUGGCAGAGGGGGGUGGAAUUCCGCGUGUAGCAGUGAAAUGCGUAGAGAUGCGGAGGAACACCGAUGGCGAAGGCAGCCCCCUGGGCUAACACUGACGCUCAGGCACGAAAGCGUGGGGAGCAAACAGG